rnacentral:rRNA from 1 species
GACGAACGCUGGCGGCGUGCUUAACACAUGCAAGUCGAACGGAAAGGCCCUGCUUUUGUGGGGUGCUCGAGUGGCGAACGGGUGAGUAACACGUGAGUAACCUGCCCUUGACUUUGGGAUAACUUCAGGAAACUGGGGCUAAUACCGGAUAGGAGCUCCUGCUGCAUGGUGGGGGUUGGAAAGUUUCGGCGGUUGGGGAUGGACUCGCGGCUUAUCAGCUUGUUGGUGGGGUAGUGGCUUACCAAGGCUUUGACGGGUAGCCGGCCUGAGAGGGUGACCGGCCACAUGGGGACUGAGAGACGGCCCAGACUCCUACGGGAGGCAGCAGUGGGGAAUAUUGCACAAUGGGCGGAAGCCUGAUGCAGCAACGCCGCGUGCGGGAUGACGGCCUUCGGGUUGUAAACCGCUUUCGCCUGUGACGAAGCGUGAGCGACGGUAAUGGGUAAAGAAGCACCGGCUAACUACGUG